rnacentral:rRNA from 1 species
GCUUGCUUCUCUUGAGAGCGGCGGACGGGUGAGUAAUGCCUAGGAAUCUGCCUGGUAGUGGGGGAUAACGUUCGGAAACGAACGCUAAUACCGCAUACGUCCUACGGGAGAAAGCAGGGGACCUUCGGGCCUUGCGCUAUCAGAUGAGCCUAGGUCGGAUUAGCUAGUUGGUGGGGUAAUGGCUCACCAAGGCGACGGUCCGUAACUGGUCUGAGAGGAUGAUCAGUCACACUGGAACUGAGACACGGUCCAGACUCCUACGGGAGGCAGCAGUGGGGAAUAUUGGACAAUGGGCGAAAGCCUGAUCCAGCCAUGCCGCGUGUGUGAAGAAGGUCUUCGGAUUGUAAAGCACUUUAAGUUGGGAGGAAGGGCAGUUGCCUAAUACGUAACUGUUUUGACGUUACCGACAGAACAAGCACCGGCUAACUCUGUGCCAGCAGCCGCGGUAAUACAGAGGGUGCAAGCGUUAAUCGGAAUUACUGGGCGUAAAGCGCGCGUAGGUGGUUUGUUAAGUUGGAUGUGAAAUCCCCGGGCUCAACCUGGGAACUGCAUUCAAAACUGACUGACUAGAGUAUGGUAGAGGGUGGUGGAAUUUCCUGUGUAGCGGUGAAAUGCGUAGAUAUAGGAAGGAACACCAGUGGCGAAGGCGACCACCUGGACUGAUACUGACACUGAGGUGCGAAAGCGUGGGGAGCAAAC